AUGAACGCUGGCGGCGUGCCUAAUACAUGCAAGUCGAGCGAACAGACGAGGAGCUUGCUCCUCUGACGUUAGCGGCGGACGGGUGAGUAACACGUGGAUAACCUACCUAUAAGACUGGGAUAACUUCGGGAAACCGGAGCUAAUACCGGAUAAUAUAUUGAACCGCAUGGUUCAAUAGUGAAAGACGGUUUUGCUGUCACUUAUAGAUGGAUCCGCGCCGCAUUAGCUAGUUGGUAAGGUAACGUCUUACCAAGGCAACGAUGCGUAGCCGACCUGAGAGGGUGAUCGGCCACACUGGAACUGAGACACGGUCCAGACUCCUACGGGAGGCAGCAGUAGGGAAUCUUCCGCAAAGGGCGAAAGCCUGACGGAGCAACGCCGCGUGAGUGAUGAAGGUCUUCGGAUCGUAAAACUCUGUUAUUAGGGAAGAACAAAUGUGUAAGUAACUAUGCACGUCUUGACGGUACCUAAUCAGAAAGCCACGGCUAACUACGUG
rnacentral:rRNA from 1 species